rnacentral:rRNA from 1 species
CCUACGGGUGGCUGCAGUCGAGAAUCUUCCGCAAUGGGCGCAAGCCUGACGGAGCGACACCGCGUGCAGGAUGAAGGCCUUCGGGUUGUAAACUGCUGUCAUGCUUUAGGAACGAACGGGCGUUAACAGCGCUCGGAUUGACCAAGGCAAGAGGAAGCACCGGCUAACUCUGUGCCAGCAGCCGCGGUAAGACAGAGGGUGCAAACGUUGUUCGGAAUUACUGGGCAUAAAGAGCACGUAGGUGGUCCGCUAAGUCACGUGUGAAAUCCCCCGGCUCAACCGGGGAAUUGCGCGUGAUACUGGCGGGCUGGAGGCGGGUAGGGGUGAGCGGAACUCCAGGUGGAGCGGUGAAAUGCGUAGAUAUCUGGAGGAACACCAGUGGCGAAAGCGGCUCACUGGACCCGAUCUGACACUGAGGUGCGAAAGCUAGGGUAGCAAAC